rnacentral:sRNA from 1 species
AAACAUGGUUUUCCUUAUGUCAGUUAUAAGUCCAGGAAGUGUGUUUUCUUGCUUCAAAGUCACAAAUAGACCUACUGUUGGCCACAUUUUUCUAAGGGUCACAAAACAAUUCCCAUGUAGAUCUUUCUCUUUUCUUUCCUACCUAGGCACAGCUGGAGUGCCCUCUGCUACAACAGUCUCCCCUGGGAGCUCCAACUCAGAGGCCACAACUUCUGUAGGAGAAAGUGGAAAAACAGGAGCUGAAAGAAUCACAGGUACUACUGAGGGCAUCUCUGGCAGAACUCUGGAGGCUAAAAGUACCCACACAGAGGCCACAACUUUCCUAGGAGGCAGCGGAACCACCCAAGCGGGACCACCCGGAGAGGCCACCACUUCCACAGAAAGGACUGGUAGUUCUGGAACUGGAUUCAAAACUGGCACCUCAGAGGUAGCUCCUGCCACAACAGUUGCCCCAGGAAGUUUUAGCACAGCAGCCACAACUUCUCCUGGAGCAAGUGGAAUGACUGGGGUUACAACAACUACAA